rnacentral:rRNA from 1 species
GACGAACGCUGGCGGCGCGCCUAACACAUGCAAGUCGAACGAGCGAGAGAGAGCUUGCUUUCUCAAGCGAGUGGCGAACGGGUGAGUAACGCGUGAGGAACCUGCCUCAAAGAGGGGGACAACAGUUAGAAAUGACUGCUAAUACCGCAUAAGACCACAGCACCGCAUGGUGCAGGGGCAAAAACUCCGGUGGUAUGAGAUGGACCCGCGUCUGAUUAGGUAGUUGGUGGGGUAACGGCCUACCAAGCCGACGAUCAGUAGCCGACCUGAGAGGGUGACCGGCCACAUUGGGACUGAGACACGGCCCAA